GACGAACGCUGGCGGCGUGCUUAACACAUGCAAGUCGAAUGAUGAACCCGGAGCUUGCUCCGGCGGAUUAGUGGCGAACGGGUGAGUAACACGUGAGUAACCUGCCCUUGACUCUGGGAUAACUGCGGGAAACUGUAGCUAAUACCGGAUACGACCCUCGGCGGCAUCGCCAGGGGGUGGAAAGAAUUUCGGUCAAGGAUGGACUCGCGGCCUAUCAGCUAGUUGGUGAGGUAACGGCUCACCAAGGCGACGACGGGUGGCCGGCCUGAGAGGGUGACCGGCCACACUGGGACUGAGACACGGCCCAGACUCCUACGGGAGGCAGCAGUUGGGAAUAUUGCACAAUGGGCGCAAGCCUGAUGCAGCAACGCCGCGUGAGGGAUGACGGCCUUCGGGUUGUAAACCUCUUUUAGUAGGGAAGAAGCGAAAGUGACGGUACCUGCAGAAAAAGCACCGGCUAACUACGUGCCAGCCGCCGCCGUAA
rnacentral:rRNA from 1 species